rnacentral:rRNA from 1 species
CCUAAGGUAGCGAAAUUCCUUGUCGGGUAAGUUCCGACCUGCACGAAUGGCGUAAUGAUGGCCAGGCUGUCUCCACCCGAGACUCAGUGAAAUUGAACUCGCUGUGAAGAUGCAGUGUACCCGCGGCAAGACGGAAAGACCCCGUGAACCUUUACUACAGCUUGACACUGAACAUUGAGCCUUGAUGUGUAGGAUAGGUGGGAGGCUUUGAAGCGCGGACGCCAGUUCGCGUGGAGCCAACCUUGAAAUACCACCCUUUAAUGUUUGAUGUUCUAACGUAGGCCCGUAAUCCGGGCUGCGGACAGUGUCUGGUGGGUAGUUUGACUGGGGCGGUCUCCUCCUAAAGAGUAACGGAGGAGCACGAAGGUCAGCUAAUCACGGUCGGACAUCGUGAGGUUAGUGCAAUGGCAUAAGCUGGCUUGACUGCGAGAGUGACGGCUCGAGCAGGUGCGAAAGCAGGUCAUAGUGAUCCGGUGGUUCUGAAUGGAAGGGCCAUCGCUCAACGGAUAAAAGGUACUCCGGGGAUAACAGGCUGAUACCGCCCAAGAGUUCAUAUCGACGGCGGUGUUUGGCACCUCGAUGUCGGCUCAUCACAUCCUGGGGCUGAAGUAGGUCCCAAGGGUACGGCUGUUCGCCGUUUAAAGUGGUACGCGAGCUGGGUUUAGAACGUCGUGAGACAGUUCGGUCCCUAUCUGCCGUGGGCGCUGGAGAAUUGAGGGGGGUUGCUCCUAGUACGAGAGGACCGGAGUGAACGCACCACUGGUGUUCGGGUUGUCAUGCCAAUGGCAUUGCCCGGUAGCUAAGUGCGGAAAAGAUAAGUGCUGAAAGCAUCUAAGCACGAAACUUGCCCCGAGAUGAGUUCUCCCUGACUCCUU